UACGUAGGGGGCAAGCGUUGUUCGGAAUUAUUGGGCGUAAAGGGCUCGUAGGCGGCCAAUUAAGUCUGAUGUGAAAUCCCCAGGCUUAACCUGGGAACUGCAUCCGAUACUGGUCGGCUUGAAUCCGGGAGAGGGAUGCAGAAUUCCAGGUGUAGCGGUGAAAUGCGCAGAUAUCGGGAGGAACACCAAUGGCGAAGGCAGCUCGCUGGGAAGUGACUGACGCUGAGACGCGAAAGCGUGGGGAGCAAACAGG
rnacentral:rRNA from 1 species